UACCACCUACGGGAGGCAGCAGUGGGGGAUAUUGCACAAUGGGGGGAACCCUGAUGCAGCGACGCCGCGUGGGUGAAGGAGUAUUUCGGUAUGUAAAGCCCUAUCGGCAGGGAAGAAGCAAGACGGUACCUGACUAAGAAGCCCCGGCUAACUACGUGCCAGCAGCCGCGGUAAUACGUAGGGGGCGAGCGUUAUCCGGAUUCACUGGGUGUAAAGGGAGCGUAGACGGCCAUGCAAGCCAGGGGUGAAAGCCCGGGGCCCCACCCCGGGACUGCCCUUUGAAACGCAUGGCUGGAGU
rnacentral:rRNA from 1 species